UUUCAGAUGAUAUCAAAACAUUCAAUAUUUCCGUCACAUAUAAUAACUUACUUUGUCAAGGAAUAUUUCUUUGUAUGGAUUAGAGUUAGAUGAAUCGUCAAUCGUUUCAUAAGCCGUAUAAAAUCUCUCUCCUUGAGGUCUAAAAACGUUUCAAGGUCAUCGAUUCUUUCAGCAACUGGAAUAAAUGAAAAAAGGCUGGUUAUUUUUAGGUCGUAUUUUGUGUGAAAUGUAAAGUACUUAUAAUACUAAUAAUCUUGAUUAAAAAAUCGUCGCGAUAUGAACUUCUUAUCAUUGUUCUCUGCUGUCCAUAAGGAAAAUGUAAAAUUCAUCGUAACCGACGGUAUUACAGGUUUGAAGCAAGAGGCAG